ACAACGUUCGGGUCGUCAGUCUACUGAGCAAUAUCACGCGUUCGGUGGAAGAUCUUCUCUUCGUCGU
rnacentral:pre_miRNA from 1 species